ACCCACAGUAGAGCUUCCUGCCCCUUCACAAAGGAAGGUUUGCAGUCCCCACAAAAAUGUCUCUGGUGGCCGUGGCUCGAUUCCUGAUGAUGGCUGGGGGACAGGAGAUCAGCUCUCCUUGAGCUCGGCUUCUGGGAGGGAAAGGACCUCCCUCUCCCCACUGCUGGCUCUAAGGAUGAGAUAUGGAGCCAGGAUGACGAUGGCAAUUGAACCCUGACUGGGAGUCUUAUGCUGUAGCCCAAGCUGACUUCAAUCUUACGGCAAUCCUCCUGCUUCACCCUCUUGAGUACAAGUGUGCACCACCUUACCCAGAAAAAAUUGAAGAGGCAGAUUUUAUAUCAUUCUGACACCAUGGUGCCCAGGUGGGGAGCAAGCCUGAGACAGCCACCAGCCUGGCUCCACAUAGCCGGGCAGGAAGACUGUGCCAGAGACAACCCUCAGCCCAUUGCCACUCCGCCUGAGCAGGGAGGAAGCCUGAGAUGACGCCCCGCCCCCCAGUCAGGUUCCACAGUGCCCAGGUGGGCAGACUAUGCCAGAGACAAUCCCUUCCCCUGUCUGGGUCUGUUACCGCCAAAGGCCAGGCGGACAUCCCUGGUCUGGCUACUGCUUGGGACCGUGUUGAUGUCUGAGGGCUCUGCAAAGCUGGCCCCACCUCAUGCCUGGACAUCCUGGGAGAGCUGGCUCUGAGGGCAGGAGAGCAGGAGAGCUGGCCCUGCCCCUCACCAGCUGCAGAACUCAGGGACACGGGUCUUGCACCUCACCUGGGCAGUGCAAUAGAACUGGCCCUGCUGGCAUAGGUGCAAGUGGGCUGGCCCAGAGGGCAUGAGAGCGGGGGAGCUGGGUCUUCCCUUUGCCUGCUAUGGCAUUAGAUGAGCUGACUGGACAGUGCUGGGGAGCAUGCCCUGAUGGUGUGGGCAUGGCACAGUGGGUGAGCCGAGCAGCUCAGCUACCACCCAGGCCCAGCUCCAGGGCCUUGAGUUGUCCCACCCCAUCUAACUCAUCUAUGAACUGCAAGCAUGUCAGGGGCUGGUCCUGCAGAUCCAAAGCUGUAGGAUCUUCAUGACACAGGGCAACAACGGGAUAGCUGAGAGGAGUCCCCAUGAGGAUCCAGUACUGACAGUGUAGCAGAAGCCAGAGGCCCCAAACCAGUCCAAUGACUCACUGCAAUGAACAUUUGCAAUCGAAGAAGGGUGGGCAAAAGGGUAGACUGUGAGACACACUGUGACAAAAUGCAGUUUCCAUAAUUUUUUUCUUUUGGCGGGGGCGGGGGAAAGGUUGCAAGGACAGGGGCGGAUAUGGAGGGGCAGGGAGAUGAGUGGGAUUGGUGGGCAUAAUGUGAAACUCACAAAGAAGAAAAAAAGGUAAUAAUAAUAAUAAUAAUAAUAAUAAUAAUAAUAAUAAUAGUUUUCACCACUGACAUACAGCCCAGCCUUAUGCCUUUCUUUGUUUACACUUAUCAACUUUCUCACUGCUGAGACUAAACGCCUGGCAAGAGGCACCUCAAGGGAGGAAGGAUUUAUUUUGGUUUCCACUUCGAGGAUACCGUCCAUCCUGUCAGGGAAGGCAUAGCGACUGGAGCAGGAGGCUACUGGCCAUAAAGCAUCCACAGUCAGGAAUCAGGUCAGCUGUAAGACCAACAGGCACACCCCCCCCCCCCGCCCCAGGGACAUACUGCAGCCAGGCUCCUCCUCCUAAAGGUCUCCAUAUUCAAACCACAACAAUGCUCUAAAUACAUUUUAGAUGCAGCCAUCUUCACGGUGUCAGAAUCGCGUUAAUUUAUUCCACCAUUCAAUGGUAUCGCUUCUGUUUUGUACUCCAUUAAAAAGAA
rnacentral:lncRNA from 1 species